rnacentral:rRNA from 1 species
AGUGAACGCUGGCGGUAGGCCUAACACAUGCAAGUCGAACGGCAGCACAGUAAGAGCUUGCUCUGACGGGUGGCGAGUGGGGGACGGGUGAGGAAUACAGCGGAAUCUACUUUUUCGUGGGGGAUAACGUAGGGAAACUUACGCUAAUACCGCAUAAGACCUACGGGUGAAAGCAGGGGAUCUUCGGACCUUGCGCGAUUGAAUGAGCCGAUGUCGGAUUAGCUAGUUGGCGGGGUAAAGGCCCACCAAGGCGAGGAGCCGUAGCUGGUCUGAGAGGAUGAUCGGCCACACGGGAACUAAGACACGGUCAACACUCCUACGGGGGGAGGCAGUGGGGAAUAUUGGACAAUGGGCGCAAGCCUGAUCCAGCCAUACCGCGUGGUGAAAGAAGGCCUUCGGGUUGUAAAGCCCUUUUGUUGGGAAAGAAGAGCAGCAGGUUAGUACGUCGCUGUUCUGACGGUACCCAAAGAAUAAGCACCGGCUAACUUCGUG